UACGUAGGGUGCGAGCGUUGUCCGGAAUUAUUGGGCGUAAAGAGCUUGUAGGCGGUCUGUUGCGUCUGCUGUGAAAAUCCGGGGCUCAACCCCGGACUUGCAGUGGGUACGGGCAGACUAGAGUGUGGUAGGGGAGACUGGAAUUCCUGGUGUAGCGGUGAAGUGCGCAGAUAUCAGGAGGAACACCGAUGGCGAAGGCAGGUCUCUGGGCCACUACUGACGCUGAGAAGCGAAAGCAUGGGGAGCGAACAGG
rnacentral:rRNA from 1 species